CGAAAAUGUACCGGGGCUAAAACAUAUUACCGAAGCUGUGGAUUGUCCUUUGGACAAUGGUAGGAGAGCGUUCUAAGGGCGUUGAAGCAUGAUCGUAAGGACAUGUGGAGCGCUUAGAAGUGAGAAUGCCGGUGUGAGUAGCGAAAGACGGGUGAGAAUCCCGUCCACCGAUUGACUAAGGUUUCCAGAGGAAGGCUCGUCCGCUCUGGGUUAGUCGGGUCCUAAGCUGAGGCCGACAGGCGUAGGCGAUGGAACAGGUUGAUAUUCCUGUACCACCUAUAAUCGUUUUAAUCGAUGGGGGACGCAGUAGGAUAGGCGAAGCGUGCGAUUGGAUUGCACGUCUAAGCAGUAAGGCUGAGUAUUAGGCAAAUCCGGUACUCAUUAAGGCUGAGCUGUGAUGGGGAGAAGACAUUGUGUCUUCGAGUCGUUGAUUUCACACUGCCGAGAAAAGCCUCUAGAUAGAAAAUAGGUGCCCGUACCGCAAACCGACACAGGUAGUCAAGAUGAGAGAAUUCUAAGGUGAGCGAGCGAACUCUCGUUAAGGAACUCGGCAAAAUGACCCCGUAACUUCGGGAGAAGGGGUGCUCUUUAGGGUUAACGCCCAGAAGAGCCGCAGUGAAUAGGCCCAAGCGACUGUUUAUCAAAAACACAGGUCUCUGCUAAACCGUAAGGUGAUGUAUAGGGGCUGACGCCUGCCCGGUGCUGGAAGGUUAAGAGGAGUGGUUAGCUUCUGCGAAGCUACGAAUCGAAGCCCCAGUAAACGGCGGCCGUAACUAUAACGGUCCUAAGGUAGCGAAAUUCCUUGUCGGGUAAGUUCCGACCCGCACGAAAGGCGUAACGAUUUGGGCACUGUCUCAACGAGAGACUCGGUGAAAUCAUAGUACCUGUGAAGAUGCAGGUUACCCGCGACAGGACGGAAAGACCCCGUGGAGCUUUACUGUAGCCUGAUAUUGAAAUUCGGCACAGCUUGUACAGGAUAGGUAGGAGCCUUUGAAACGUGAGCGCUAGCUUACGUGGAGGCGCUGGUGGGAUACUACCCUAGCUGUGUUGGCUUUCUAACCCGCACCACUUAUCGUGGUGGGAGACAGUGUCAGGCGGGCAGUUUGACUGGGGCGGUCGCCUCCUAAAAGUAACGGAGGCGCUCAAAGGUUCCCUCAGAAUGGUUGGAAAUCAUUCAUAGAGUGUAAAGGCAUAAGGGAGCUUGACUGCGAGACCUACAAGUCGAGCAGGGUCGAAAGACGGACUUAGUGAUCCGGUGGUUCCGCAUGAAGGGCCAUCGCUCAACGGAUAAAAGCUACCCCGGGGAUAACAGGCUUAUCUCCCCCAAGAGUUCACAUCGACGGGGAGGUUUGGCACCUCGUCGGCUCAUCGCAUCCUGGGGCUGUAGUCGGUCCCAAGGGUUGGGCUGUUCGCCCAUUAAAGCGGUACGCGAGCUGGGUUCAGAACGUCGUGAGACAGUUCGGUCCCUAUCCGUCGUGGCGUAGGAAAUUUGAGAGGAGCUGUCCUUAGUACGAGAGGACCGGGAUGGACAUACCUCUGGUGUACCAGUUGUCGUGCCAACGGCAUAGCUGGGUAGCUAUGUGUGGACGGGAUAAGUGCUGAAAGCAUCUAAGCAUGAAGCCCCCCUCAAGAUGAGAUUUCCCAACUUCGGUUAUAAGAUCCUCAAAGAUGAUGAGGUUAAUAGGUUCGAGGUGGAAGCAUGGUGACAUGUGGAGCUGACGAAUACUAAUCGAUCGAAGACUUAAUC
rnacentral:rRNA from 1 species